UACGUAGGGGGCUAGCGUUGUCCGGAAUCAUUGGGCGUAAAGCGCGUGUAGGCGGUCCGGUAAGUCCGCUGUGAAAGUCGAGGGCUCAACCCUCGAAUGCCGGUGGAUACUGUCGGGCUAGAGUACGGAAGAGGCGAGUGGAAUUCCUGGUGUAGCGGUGAAAUGCGCAGAUAUCAGGAGGAACACCGGUGGCGAAGGCGGCUUUCUGGACACUUACUGACGCUGAGACGCGAAAGCGUGGGGAGCAAACAGG
rnacentral:rRNA from 1 species